rnacentral:rRNA from 1 species
GACGAACGCUGGCGGCGCGCCUAACACAUGCAAGUCGAACGGAGCUUUGAGAGCUUGCUUUUAAAGCUUAGUGGCGAACGGGUGAGUAACGCGUGAGUAACCUGCCCUGGAGAGGGGGACAACAGUUGGAAACGACUGCUAAUACCGCAUAAGCACACAGGACCGCAUGGUCCGGUGUGAAAAACUCCGGUGGUAUGAGAUGGACCCGCGUCUGAUUAGCUAGUUGGUAAGGUAACGGCUUACCAAGGCGACGAUCAGUAGCCGACCUGAGAGGGUGACCGGCCACAUUGGGACUGAGACACGGCCCAA